GGAUAAUCUUUCUGAGUUCCAUAAGAAAAAAAAAAAGUUUUGCCAGGAUAAAACAGGAAAGUUUUAUUUUCCACCUGUGAAAAUAGGGGGAUUUUUUUUUCUGCCAGGAUCAUUUUUCUAAGUUUUUUUUUUUUCAUGUGUGAAAGUAGCAGGUGAUUUUUUUUUCUCUGGAUUUUGCUUAGUGUUUGUUGUUGUAAUACUCAUUUCAGCCACAAGGGGCCACAAGUGCACCACUACUCCAUGUUCUAAAUAGGACUGAAAUCAUUCAUGUUUUCUUCCAGAGGGCAGAAUGAGACCUACACACUGUUGGGGAGAAAUUCAAACCUGAUCAGCUGUGCGUAGGAGAAAUACAGUGAGCACAACUUAAGGGUCUAAGCACACCUGAAGGCUCCACUGUACCUGAACCUGAUCAGAUGAGGACAUGACAAGUUUCCAGCUUUUCAGUGUUGUCAGAGUUGUACCUAUAAUUUUGGAGGACAUAAUCACUGUAUGAUCAGUAAAUAAACAUGAAUAAUAAAAACAGA